rnacentral:rRNA from 1 species
AUGGCGGCGGCCUCGCAGGAGAAGCAGCAGCAGCUGCCGACGUUUGGCGUGCUGAGGAACGCGGCGGCGCUGCUCGACGAAAUGCAGCUCAUGGGGGAGGCGCAGGGCGCCAAGAAGGUGAUCAACUCGGAGCUCUGGCACGCCUGCGCCGGCCCGCUCGUCUGCCUGCCGCAGCGCGGGAGCCUCGUCUACUACUUCCCCCAAGGCCACAGCGAGCAGGUUGCGGCGACCACCAAGAAGACGCCCAACUCCCGCAUCCCCAACUACCCGAGCCUGCCGUCGCAGCUGCUGUGCCAAGUCCACAACAUCACCAUGCAUGCCGACAAGGACACCGAUGAGGUCUACGCACAGAUGACUCUGCAACCAGUGAACUCUGAAACCGACGUGUUCCCGAUCCCGUCUCUCGGCAGCUAUGCCAAGAGCAAGCAUCCAGCUGAGUACUUCUGCAAGAAUUUGACCGCGAGCGACACGAGCACGCAUGGCGGUUUCUCGGUGCCGCGAAGAGCUGCAGAGAAGCUGUUCCCACAGCUGGAUUACUCGAUGCAACCUCCGAAUCAGGAGCUUAUCGUCCGGGAUUUGCAUGAUAACAUGUGGACGUUUCGUCACAUUUAUCGUGGACAGCCGAAGCGACAUCUUCUAACGACUGGAUGGAGUCUGUUUGUCGGCGCGAAACGGCUUAAAGCAGGGGAUUCUGUCUUAUUUAUCAGGGAUGAGAAGUCACAACUACUUGUGGGUGUUAGGCGUGCCACCAAUCAGCAAACGGCAUUGUCAUCAUCGGUUCUGUCCACUGAUAGUAUGCACAUAGGUGUUCUGGCUGCUGCAGCUCAUGCUGCAUCAAGUGGUAGUUCAUUUACCAUUUACUACAAUCCUAGGACGAGCCCAUCGCCGUUUGUGGUUCCUGUAGCAAGGUACAAUAAGGCCAACUAUAUCCAGCAAUCUGUUGGCAUGAGAAUGGCUAUGAUGUUUGAGACAGAGGAGUCAAGCAAGCGCAGAUACACUGGUACAAUUGUGGGAGUUAGCGACUCUGAUCCGAUGAGAUGGCCCAACUCCAAAUGGCGCAACUUGCAGAUUGAAUGGGAUGAACAUGGAUACGGAGAAAGACCCGAGCGUGUGAGCAUAUGGGACAUUGAAACUCCGGAGAACACUAUAGUGUUCCCUUCUGCAUCAUUGAAUUCGAAGCGACAAUGCCUGCCUGGUUAUGGAGUGCCUGGGCUAGAUAUUGCAUCUGUAAAUAUGUCACCAUUUCAGAGGGCACCUGGAAAUCCUUAUGGUAACUUGCAGCACAUGCCCGCCGUUGGAUCAGAAUUGGCUAUGAUGAUGUUUCUGAAUCAAUCUGGCCAAAACAUAGGGACUCCACUCAGUUGUCACCAGUCCUCUUAUUCUAGUAUUAUUCAAAAUGUCAAGCAAAACUACAUGCCUCCUUCAACAUUUGGUCAUCCCAUUGGUUCAAUAAAGCCAGAAAGCAUGCCUUCCAAUGAAGUCCAGCAGCAGCAGCAGUUGCAUGCUCCUAAGAUGCAGAGAGGCGACUCAGAAAGCUGUGAAGUUCAUCCUGCCACUGAUUCAGUUUCUGCGUCGGAGCUACAUGUUGCAGGAAGAGAGCCAAGAAACACAGAUAAAUAUCCAAGUCAAAGCAUUUCAGAGCAAAAUGGCAAGGGUGAGCCUAGAGUCAAGCCUCGGAGGAGCAAGAAAGGUUCAUCCCGCAAAACCAUUUCAGAGAAUUCUGAACUUUCUUCGGCACCUUCACAGAUUUGCGAUGACCAACUGCAUGUUUCAGAAGCAGAACUAAUCAGUUGUGACACCAAAAAUGUUAACUGUGGUAACAAUGAAGGUUCAUCUGGUGCACUUACUCAUGGUGAUUUUGCUGGACAGCUGCAGUGUCAGCAGGUCGAACAAAAUGAGCUGGUGUCACCACCAAAGUUGGAAUCAUCAAUAUCACCUGAUGGAGGGAAGUCAGUCAACUCAUUUCCCAACCAGGCGUCUUUUUCGCAGUUCUUCGAUGGUCUGGAUUGGAUGGUUCAGCCUCCCUAUUACCAAGACUCCAAUGGCAUUCAGUCAGUUAGUGCAUCAGAGAACAUCUUCAGUCCAUCUGCUAAUAUGGCUUCCACAAUAAAUACUGAUACUCUAGAAACUUUUCAGAACUCUUGCCUCUCAGACUGCUUCCCAAAUUCCAUACAAGACUUCGUCGGCAGCCCGGAUCUGCAUUCGCUAACAUUUCUGUCACCUGAGAUGCAAAAUCUGGAUGUGCACCACGACGGAAGCAACGUACCGAGCACAUCCAACUCAUAUGUACAAAUGAGCUUCUCUGAAGAUGAUAGUGGAAAUCACAUGGAAUCCAUGCAAAGAGGAAUGAAUAACAUCUCCUCAUGCUCUCAACCGCAGACUACCGAGGGCUUCAAUCUGGGGAUGUACUCAAAGUUGCCAAGUUUGAAGGAGUCUCAAGUUCUGUCUCUGCCAGAGAUCCAUAACAGUUCCAGGGGGACAUCGUCUUGCAGCAUGGAUGCGGCAGAGUACAGCAUCGACCGAAAUGCGAAGCCGAUGAAACCACCGGUGCGGACAUAUACAAAGGUUCAAAAGCUAGGAUCUGUUGGAAGAUCUAUUGACGUCACACGGUAUAGAGAUUACCGUGAGCUGAGAUCAGCCAUCGCCUCCAUGUUUGGACUCCAGGGGAAGCUUGAGCACCCUGCUAGUUCAGACUGGAAGCUCGUGUACGUCGACUACGAAAACGAUGUGCUUCUUGUCGGGGAUGAUCCAUGGGAGGAAUUCAUCAACUGCGUCCGAUGCAUCCGGAUCCUCUCACCUUCGGAAGUACAACAGAUGAGCGAGAACGGCAUGCAAGUCUUGAACGACUGCAUCCAAGCAGACCAGUAG